rnacentral:pre_miRNA from 1 species
UGAUGAUGAUGAUGAUGAUGGUGGUGGUGGUGGUGGUGGUGGUGGUGGUGGUGAUAAUGACGACAACGAUGAUGAUGAUAGUCAUUAUUAUCGCUUUCAAUAUAACCCUCCACCUCAUCAUCAUCAUCAUCAUCAUCAUCGUCAUCAUCAUCAUUAUCA